rnacentral:sRNA from 12 species
CCUGGCCAUUAGAGGCUGGGCCACAUGUCAAUUUAUUUGCACAUAUUUAAGUUUAUUUUAAGUCAGUAAAAUUCAACUUUGACAAUUAGUAAAGGGUUUCUUUUUUAGAAAAAAAGAAACUACUGUGGUAGAAAAAACUACAAUUGUGAAAAUUGAAAAAGUGGUGGCAGAUAAAAAUCUGAUAAUCGGUAAAUUGGCUAAUCCCA